GUUAUGCAAAGCUUGGCGGAGUCAUAUGGGAUAAACAUCUUGACAUCCACAGGACUCUCAUCUACUGGAUGUCUUUUGCUUGCACUUAUUGAAGAUACCUUGGGUACUUUGCGUUUUGUUUCAUGGGGUCGGUCUGUUCCAAUCCAGCGCCUGAAUGCGUUCCAUUUGACUCUACCUUUCCUUAGCCAUGAGACCUCACAUUUACCUGCACGUCUGUUUUUAUCCUGGUCUAGGAGUGUGUUAUGAAUGUUGCAUGGUCUGCGCAGCUGAAUCUCUUCUCUCAGGUCAGGAACACUGCCUGGCAGCUCCUCUGAUGACACAUUGGGAUGAGAAAGUACCACACGGGUGGAAACAGCUGGAUCAUCCUGAUAUUGAGAA
rnacentral:antisense_RNA from 1 species